UUACGGACAUAUCACGUUGAAACAUUAGUUCCCGCUCGUACACCGAAGUUAAACAACGUCGAGCCUGGUCAUUACUUAGAAGGGUUACCACUUCGGAAUAUCAGGUGCUGUAAG